UUUCACGGAUAAAGAGCUGCCAACUCACACCAUUCCCUCAACAAGUCACUGCAACUAAGUUACUUUGGCAUUUCUCUCAAGCUUCAACAAUCCUCCCCAUAUUUCUCUCCUCUCUCGCAAGAAAGGUUCAAGAACAGAAUCAUCCACCAUUCAAGUACUCACAACUCACAAGGCUUUGUGGACCAAGGGGAUUAGCGCUGCUUUCCCAAGACAAGUUAUAUGUGUAUGAUCUUCAGGCUUUGCCUAUCCAGGUUGGCUGGCUGGUGCUGACGGGACUGAGCUGAGGCUAUGGUUCAACUUCCUUUUAAGACUUCCGCUGUAGCAGUAGAUAAUAUCUUGUCUUUUGUUUUCUCAACUUAAGACUUUCAUGCCAAAUUUCAAAUGAUAUCCCUGAUCGAGUUUAAACUCUUAACUCCCUAGUUUUAUACUAAUCAAUGUCGGUUGUCAGAAGCACGAAACAAAAC